UACGUAGGUGUCAAGCGUUGUCCGGAUUUAUUGGGCGUAAAGCGCCCGCAGGCGGCUUGCCAAGUUCGAUGUGAAAUCUCCCGGCUCAACUGGGAGGGUGCAUCGAAAACUGGCAGGCUUGAGGCAGGGAGAGGGAUGUGGAAUUCCGGGUGUAGUGGUGGAAUACGUAGAUAUCCGGAGGAACACCAGCGGCGAAGGCGGCUUUCUGGUCCGAUUCUGACGCUGAGGCGCGAAAGCGUGGGGAGCGAUCCGG
rnacentral:rRNA from 1 species